UUUUAUUAGUAGAUUGCACAGUUCAGUACAUAUUCCGUACAAUUGACCACUAAAUGGUAACACCCCCAAUACGUUUUUACACUUGUUUAAGUCGGGGUCAACGUGAAUCAAUUCAUGGCUGACUCCAACUAAAGUUCACCUCAGAAGGAAAGGAAGACGACAACAAUGAGCCAACCUGCUUUGCAUGCACAGUUUGGAGCUGCCCCGCUAAGUGUCUGUAACACGGCAGUAAAACGGCUGAACAGACAAAACAGAAGUCAUCGUCAUGGACCCACUGGCUGCGGAAGCCAGCUCUCCGAUCAGGUAAACAGACUCAAUC